GGCCGGCGUGGUGCAAUGGUUUGAGCACUGGACUAUGACGCUAGGGACCAGGGUUCGAAUCCCUGCCCAGCCA